ensembl:misc_RNA 7SK 7SK RNA
AGGUGUGAGGGUAACUUGGCUGUGUGGCAUCAUAGCCCCACUGAAUCACCAAAGCUGACUAGACUGAUAAGACUAGCUAAACAGGUUUUCCCUUCCUUCUUCACUGCUGUAAGUAUGGCCUUCCUAAGAUGCACUGAAGAGGAUGACCUCCAUGAACAAAUGACUCUCUUCAGCCAAGGGCUGAAGUGUAGCUGUGUUUCUACCACAACAGCCUCAAAAGAAGCUCUCAGUCAUAUAUAAAUAUAUACUACUGGUACUAGACAUAUAGCUCAAUUGGU